rnacentral:rRNA from 1 species
GACGAACGCUGGCGGCGUGCUUAACACAUGCAAGUCGAACGGAAAGGCCCUGCUUGCAGGGUGCUCGAGUGGCGAACGGGUGAGUAACACGUGGGUGAUCUGCCCCUUACUUUGGGAUAAGCCUGGGAAACUGGGUCUAAUACUGGAUAGGACCAUGCUGUAGGUGGUGUGGUGGAAAGAUUAGUUUCGGUAAGGGAUGAGCUCGCGGCCUAUCAGCUUGUUGGUGGGGUAAUGGCCAACCAAGGCGUCGACGGGUAGCCGGCCUGAGAGGGUGGACGGCCACAUUGGAACUGGGAUACUGCCCAGACGCCUACGGGAGGCAGCAGUGGGGAAUAUUGCACAAUGGGCGCAAGCCUGAUGCAGCGACGCCGCGUGGGGGAUGACGGCCUUCGGGUUGUAAACUCCUUUCAGCCAUGACGAAGCCCUUGUGGUGACGGUAGUGGUAGAAGAAGCACCGGCUAACUACGUG